UUGAAGUCCUAACCCCUAGUACCUGUGAAUGUGACCUUAUUUGGAAAUAGGGUCUUUGCAAUAUAAUCAAGUUAAGAUGAGGUUAUUAGAGUGGGCCCUAAUUCAAUAUGACUGUGUCCUUAUAAAAAGGGAACAUUUCACCCAGAGACACAAACACACACACAGGGAGAUGCCAUGUAGAACAUAAAGAGGCAGAGAUCACGGAGAUGCAUCUACAAGCCAACGAACACCAAAGAUUGCAUCAAACCACCAGCAGCUAGGAGAGAGGCGUAGAACAGGUCCUCCCUCACUGCCCUCAGGAGGAACCAACCCUGCCAGCUACUUGGUCUCGGACUUCCAGCUGCCAGAACUGUGAGAUCAGAGAUCUCUGUUGGUUAAGCCACCCAGAUUGCCAUACUUUGUUAUGGCAGCCCUAGCAGGCUACUAGAGGCUUCAACCUGAAGUUAGCAAGACCGAGCAGAUGAGAGUGGAGAAUGGGUGUUGCUUGGGAAGUGCCCAGGGCUGGCUUGUUUGCAUGGAGACUUGAGGAACCAUUCACAAUUCCUGGGGAUUCACACAUAAAGAAAGAACAUCAGCAGACAGCAUCUCUGACAUUAGAACCAGAAGAUUUUUGUUUAAGGAUCACUUAAGAUGUUUUUCAGACUCUGAAUUCCAGCAACCAGUUUGGAGACCCCAACAGAGGAACAGGAUCAGCCUGAGAAUACAGCUUCUUCGUCUUCCUGUCCCUGCACUCUUUGACCCUGCACUCUUUGACCAAUCAAUGAUUUGCAUACUUUGGCCCACUCCAAAACCCUUAAAAACUCUAAACCCAACUUUGUUGAGGAGAUGGAUUUGAGGUCUCCUCCCAUAACCUCGUUAGGUGACUGUAUGAUUAAACUCCUUUCUCUGCUGCAACGUGGUUUUUUGGCAUGUUGACUUGCUGUGUGCAUUGGGAAACAGACCUAUUAGGGCUACACCAGGGACCCUCCUGCUACCACUCAGCAGGUUUAGGGGCAAGAGUAGAUACUUAAAGAACGAAGAGUCAGAUUCUUGGCCCCUGUCU
rnacentral:lncRNA from 1 species